rnacentral:rRNA from 1 species
CGCGAGUUCACUACGGGUUUGAAAGAUUUCCUCGUAGUGGCUAAUGCGAACAAGCAAAAGGGUUUUGUUAUCUGUCCAUGUGUUGACUGUAAGAAUCAGAAGGGUUACUCUUCCUCAAGAGAAGUUCACCUGCACCUGCUUCGGCACGGUUUCAUGCCAAGCUAUAAUUGUUGGACCAAGCAUGGAGAAAGAGGGGUUAUAAUGGAAGAAGAUGAAGAAGGGGAUGAUUUCAUCGAUGAAAGCUAUCUUGCUCAUUUCGGUGAUACUUUCAUGGAGGAUGCUGAAGGUGAAGGGGAAGGUGAAGGGGAAGGUGAAGGUGAAGAAGAGGCAUGUGAUGAGACCGUUGAUGAUCUUGGUCGGACCAUUGCUGAUGCACGGAGACGCUGCGAAACUGAAAAGGAGAGGGAGAAUUUGGAUCGCAUGUUAGAG